UCUGUAGGUGGUUUAUCCAGUCUGUUGUUAAAACUUAGGGCUUAACCCUAAUCCGGCAACAGAAACUAAUAGACUAGAGUACGGUAGGGGCAGAGGGAAUUCUCGGUGUAGUGGUGAAAUACGUAGAUAUCGAGAAGAACACCAAUAGCGAAAGCACUCUGCUGGGCCGAAACUGACAUUCAGAGACGAAAGCUAGGGGAGCGAAAA
rnacentral:rRNA from 1 species